UUUUGGGUUUGGGUGUUUUGGUUUUGGUUGAUUUGGUUUUGGGUGUCGGUUGAUUUGGGUUUUGGUAAUGGUGGUGGUUAGCAUAACAAAAAGAAAAAUAAAUCAAAACAAAACAGUAGACAAAGACUCAACUCAUCAGUCGCACAUGAAUCCACAUAAAUAAACCCAUCACACUCAACUCCGAAUACCCUCCCCCAAACCCAUCGGCC
rnacentral:lncRNA from 1 species